rnacentral:rRNA from 1 species
AACGAACGCUGGCGGCAUGCCUAACACAUGCAAGUCGAACGAAGUCUUCGGACUUAGUGGCGCGCGGGUGCGUAACGCGUGGGAAUCUGCCCUUGGGUGCGGAAUAACUUCUCGAAAGGGAUGCUAAUACUGCAUAAUGUCGUAAGACCAAAGAUUUAUCGCCCAAGGAUGAGCCCGCGUAAGAUUAGCUAGUUGGUGGGGUAAAAGCCUACCAAGGCGACGAUCUUUAGCUGGUCUGAGAGGAUGAUCAGCCACACUGGGACUGAGACACGGCCCAGACUCCUACGGGAGGCAGCAGUGGGGAAUAUUGGACAAUGGGCGAAAGCCUGAUCCAGCAAUGCCGCGUGAGUGAUGAAGGCCCUAGGGUUGUAAAGCUCUUUCGCCGAUGAAGAUAAUGACGGUAGUCGGAGAAGAAGCCCCGGCUAACUUCGUGCCAGCAGCCGCGGUAAU